CCAGUUGUUAGGAUUUAAAUCCCAAAUCCGACCUUUGUAAGCAGGUUCCCAGGAAAGAUUGGAGGGUCACAGCUGGACCACUUAAAUACCAACCUCCUUAGACAGAACCUACUUACGCCGUGAUGUAAGCGAAGAAUAAAUAGCACACACAGAUUUAUAGUGGUUCACCCUCAAUGUGAGAGCUACGUCCACGUUGAUGCUGCAGAUCUUAUUAAAGAAGAAAUAUUACAAGUGUUUACAACACUCAACCUCACAACCCCAAUCCCAAUUACACUCAAGAAUUUUACCACAGAAAAUUCUCUCAAAGACCUUCUCUUACUUAGACCUUUCACUAAGAGUAUUUCUCUUAGAUUUUUCUCUCUCUUUGGGAUGUGUUUAGUAAAUGAUCUUGAUGAUAUCUUACAAAUGAACCAUAAGCUACCUAUUUAUAGGAAUGAAUUUCCUAUGAUGAGGUAAACGCUUACAUCACGACUAUGUGAACAAAAGAAUUGAUUUGUUUGGCCAAUUCCACACCUAACACUAACAUGGAGAUACCUGCCAAUAAAUUAGAACCACUGAUUGUUGCUUUUGAUCUUGGAACUGGAAAGUGGCGACUUGUACCUCGUCCUCGUUAUACUGAUAUGGGUUUCAUUGUGAAUUUGGUCGUGUUGGGAGGCUCCCUUUGCGUAUAUAAAAUGUAUUUUGUGGAUUCUUAUGAUUAUUCCUCAGGGAAUGUGGAUCUUGUUUUGGAUCAUGUGGACGUAUGGGAAAUGAAGGAAUGUGGAGUUAAGGACUCAUGGACUAGGGUUGCAUCACUUGAACAACCAGAUAAGCAACUUGGUCAUACUGUGGUCCCACUGGCAUAUUCGGAGAAUAGAGAGGAAAUUCUUGUGGAACAAGAUAAUAGACGAUUCCUGUGGACUAGUAUUGUGGGGGACUCCAUAAAGAUUGUUGAUACUCAAAAUGGGACGUUACGUGGCUUUCUACAUUUCAAUAGUUAUGUUUAUUUAGGAAGCCUUGUUAAGUUCGGUUCCAAUGAUGACAAAAGUGAUCUGAAUAAAUAGUAUAAUCAAGAUAAAGGAGGAAACAAGAAAGCCCGAAAGAAGAGAGGAGAUGAUUUCCUUUUAAAGGGGUUUAAGUUGAAGCUUUGAGCAAUGAAUGAGGUGAAGAUUUGGAGGGUCAAGGUAGACAGGGAGGUGAGCUUGAUCCAGACUCGUAGGAGCCAGUAGCUGAUUUGAGAGCACUCCAUUGUUCCGGAGGAUGCCUUUUUGAUGGUGAAACACUGAAGCUGGACAAUGAAGGAGGGCACAUUUCGUCUAUUUUGAUUUUAAACUCCAAUAUCCCUCCUACUCUCUUUUGAUGUAAAUAGUUGAUACUUAUGUUUUGAUAUCAGUUUUUAGUCGAUAAAGCUGAUGACCGACUUGUAUGGCAUUUACAGAUAUGCUUUUCCGUUUUGACGUGCUUAUAUGAAUCUGUUAAUUUUGUCAUGCUUUUGUAAUUGUAAGGCUGCAUGAUGGAUUUAGUGAAUGGUUCACUUAAGUUGUUGGUCUAAACUUUUGCUGGCCUUAAUUAUUGUGAGGUUAUUGAAAUUGUAGAAAAUGCUCUUACCCCAUAUUAUUUUUCAUGGGGUUACAAGAUGGUUGACGAACUGGACCUUGAAAAAGUGAAUUAAAUAAGGCAAUUCUCAAGUAUGCUGCUGAAUUCAUCUAGUCUCCAGUCCCUAUAUGUUUUAGGUAAAUUAAAUAAAGAAGUGUAUUAGAAAGUGAUAUCAAUUGGGGCGGCCGGUUGGAUCAUACCGGCUGCACUUAAUCUUUCCAACAAUUGGGUUUAGGUUUCAACCAACGGAGUGGAUGGGCAGGUUUCUCUUGAAGCUGGGACGAGGCAAAUUGUAUGCAUUAGGCGGUGGAUUGUUUUGGUAGCUAGGUGCGGCAGGUUGAUAGCUUUGUUGCUGACUUUGGUAAGUGGGGGCUGGUGCUUGGUAGUUUGGCUUUGGAGUUUGAUAAGCUGGGGAAGAUGCUUGGGAGCUUGGUUGAGGAGUCUGGAAGACUGGGGAAGGUGCUUGGUAAUUUGGUUGUGCAUAGAAAAAGGGGAUUGGACUAUAUGGAACUGGGAUGUAAUUGUUAAGAGGAUGGUGAUUGGUAAGUUCUGACAGGGGAAUGAGAUUCACUGGUCUUCUUAUUUUGCGACUGGGGGUAUAUGAGACAUUAGCCCCGUCCUCUUUCUUCUUUUUGGCGAACCUGGCGAAGCUGUGAUGAACAGAUUUUGUUCGAAGUCUGCAAUGUGCAAUGCGGCAAAAUUUGUAACCCUUCCUGAUUUGAGUCCAUCCUCUAUAGCCUCCCAUAUUUUGACCAAUUCUACGUGGGGUAUAUUUGGACCGAAAGCAAAUGAGGGGUAUAUUUAAACCAUUUCUAAUAGUACUAGGGUAUAUUUGAUCCUUUCCCGUUGUUUUUAUAAUGCAAAUUGUGAAAUGUGAAUGAAAUAAUAAGGGGUCUGGCAACUGAAAUAGCCAUGCCUUGGGGAUGAAAGCAGUACCUUAUAGCAAUAUUCCUCCUGUUGAAUUUUUGUGGGUUUAUUUGAUAAACCUACUGGAACAUUUUCGAGGGGAACACAUUCAAUAUACAAUAUUAUUUACUCGAGUUUGCGAUAUUCUAAUACUAUGACUUGGGAAAACAACUGAAAAAAAAGUUACAUAGGCGCCACACAGAAAAAUUAAGGUGGACAUUGGCUUUUAAUGGAGUAGGGAUAAAUAUGACUUUUUUGUUGAGUACAAGGGCAAAUAUGGCCCUAAAGCUGAAUGAAAAGAGCAAAUAUGGCCCUAAAGUUGGGUAACAAGAACAAAUAUGUGGAAAAAGUAUAACAAAGGGCAAAUAUAGCUUAUUUGUGAGAGUAUAAGGAUAAAUCUAACCUUUUUCCGUUUAUUUUAUACGAAUUAUCUAUCUAUUCUACCUAAAAAAAAAAAAAAACAAAUAGUGUGGUGUCAUUUUAUUGAGAAGAUAACUAUAUUAGUUGCAUUAUGCAGAGGUCAAGAAUGUAGAAGAAAACAACAAAAUGUUAUUGUUAGGAUUAUACGUGCCAAUGUGAAACUUCACAGAAGCCCUCCGGACGUUUACCACACGAGUUGAACAAUUAAAGAAAGUUCAGUCAAAACUAAAUACUUUGAAAGAUAAGGAAGUUUCUAGUCCUAUAUUAAGUUUUCCAAAUCAAGAAUUCUGCCACUUUCUUUUUCCUUUUAGCAAGAACUAUUCCGACAGAAAGAAAGAAAGAAUGCUGGAAGGUAAAGGGAAGAUAAAGAAGACAGACCUGCCACUGAAGAUGCAGAUGCAUGCUAUGGCUUCUGCCUCUCAAGCUCUUGAUGUAUACGAUGUCUAUGAUUAUACCUCAAUAGCUGCUCAUAUCAAGAAUGUAAUCUAAUUUACUUGUUAGUUUUGUUGGGUUCAAUCUUGAUUUGUUGUGUUGAUCUAAACACAGGAAUUUGACAAGUUAUAUGGGACUGGAUGGCAAUGUGUGGUGGGCUCAAGCUUUGGUUGUUUCAUCACUCACUCCAAGGAACCUUUGUUUAUUUUGCUCUGGAGUCCCUUCAUUUUCUCAUCUUUAAGGGAGCAACUAUCUGAAUUUCUAUACAAGGAUUAUGUACGCUAAGAACUUUAGCAUUU